AUGGCAUCGCAGCAGCCAUCCCUCGCCAUCCUAGUGCGCGAGCCCGACGGCUUCACGGUGUGGCCCGGCCCUCCCUACCCGCCUGGUUCCAGCCCGCCGCAGAGGCUCCCCAAGACGGCGUGCAGCGCCACGUCCUUCUCCAGCGACGGCUCCCGCCUCCUCGCGACGGUGGCCUCGGCCUCGGCUACCGUCUACGACUGCAGCUCGCUCUCCGUCAUCAGGUCCUUCGACCUCCCAGGCCUCACCUCCGCGGCGCUCUCGCCCACUGGCUCGUACCUGCAGACCUUCCAGAAGUCGUCUUCGCCGCAGGUCAAAAAUGUCACGGUCUGGCACGUUGACACCGCCACGGCGCUCUACCAGCACUACCAGAAGAACUUGUCUAAGGCCAAUUGGCCAAUGGUUCAAUUUUCUGCGGACGAGUCAGUCGCUUGUCGGAUGGCGACCAACGAGAUGCAGUUCUUUGACACAAAUGAUUUCACUAAAGGGAUUGUGUACAAGGUAAGAUUACCAGGCAUAGCUGCAUUGCAGCUAGCAAGUGCUCCAGGAUCUCAUGUUGCUGGAUUUGUCCCAGAGGCAAAGGGUGUUCCAGCCAGUGUUCAGAUCUUUUCUUGUGACAAGGAUGCACAAAACCAAGUUGUUGCCCGCAGGAGCUUUUUUCGCUGUUCAACUGUUCAGUUUCACUGGAACAAGGGGUCUACUGGACUUCUUAUUGUUUCCCAAGCUGAUGUGGAUAAAACCAACCAGAGUUACUACGGUGAAACCAAGUUGCACUACUUGACAACUGAUAGGGCCUUUGAAGGAAUUGUUCCUCUCAAAAAGGAGGGGCCAGUGCAUGAUGUUCAGUGGUCUUCUUCAGGUUCAGAGUUUGCUGUGGUCUAUGGAUUUAUGCCUGCCAAAGCAACAAUAUUCAACAAAAAAUGCAAUCCUCUUCAUGAGCUUGGUGAAGGCCCUUAUAAUACGAUAAGAUGGAACCCCAAAGGGCGAUUUAUUGUUAUAGCUGGAUUUGGUAAUUUGCCUGGUGAUAUGGCUUUCUGGGAUUAUUCAGAAAAGAAGUUGAUACAGAAAGCAAAGGCUGAAUGGUCUGUCAUAAGUGAAUGGUCCCCUGAUGGUCGCCAUUUUAUGACUGCUACAACAGCUCCAAGGCUUCAAAUAGAUAAUAGAAUAAAAAUAUUUGACCACACUGGAUCUCUGCAGUUUAUAAAGGAAUUUGAAAAACUGUAUCAGGUUGACUGGAAACCAGAAUCUCCUGAAAGAUUUGUUGACAUUGCUGAGCUCACGAUAUCUUUGAAUGGCUUAAAAAUUGAAGAAACAAAGAAGCAAGUUUCAGGACAAGGUUCUAAAUCGGCACAAACAUCAAGCAAGGCAGCAAAACCUGCAGGAGCAUACCGUCCACCUCAAUCAAAGCACACUGCAGCGCUUCAAGACAAGCUUUUCGGUGGCCUUGCUCCUACCGGAGGAGAGAUGAGCAAAACUGCAUUGAGAAAUAAGAAGCGGAGGGAGAAGCAGAAGGAGAAGAAGGCUGGGGAAGGCUCUUCCGCUGAUGACAGCUGA
rnacentral:rRNA from 1 species